rnacentral:rRNA from 1 species
AGCAAUACAGAGAAAAGUCUAGUGGCGAACGGGUGCGUAACACGUGAGCAACCUGCCGUGAAGUGGGGGAUAGCUCGCCGAAAGGCGAAUUAAUACCGCAUGUGGCCAGGAAGGACAUCCUUCCGACGCCAAAGCCGGGGCAACCUGGCGCUUCUCGAGGGGCUCGCGGCCUAUCAGCUUGUUGGUGAGGUAACGGCUCACCAAGGCUAUGACGGGUAGCUGGUCUGAGAGGACGACCAGCCACACUGGAACUGAGACACGGUCCAGACACCUACGGGUGGCAGCAGUCGAGAAUUUUUCACAAUGGGGGAAACCCUGAUGGAGCGACGCCGCGUGGAGGAUGACGGUUUUCGGAUUGUAAACUCCUGUCAUUAGAGAACAAGGCACAUAGUUUAACUGGCCGUGUGUUGAUAGUAUCUGAAGAGGAAGAGACGGCUAACUCUGUGCCAGCAGCCGCGGUAAUACAGAGGUCUCAAGCGUUGUUCGGAUUCAUUGGGCGUAAAGGGUGCGUAGGUGGCGAGGUAAGUCGGAUGUGAAAUCUCCAAGCUCAACUUGGAAACUGCAUUCGAUACUGCUUUGCUAGAGGAUUGUAGAGGGCAUUGGAAUUCACGGUGUAGCAGUGAAAUGCGUAGAUAUCGUGAGGAAGACCAGUGGCGAAGGCGAAUGCCUGGGCAAUUCCUGACACUGAGGCACGAAGGCCAGGGGAGCAAACGGGAUUAGAUACCCCGGUAGUCCUGGCAGUAAACGGUGCACGUUUGGUGUGGGAGGAUUCGACCCCUUCCGUGCCGGAGCUAACGCGUUAAACGUGCCGCCUGGGGAGUACGGUCGCAAGAUUAAAACUCAAAGAAAUUGACGGGGACCCGCGCAAGCGGUGGAGUAUGUGGCUUAAUUCGAUCAACGCGAAGAACCUUACCUGGCCUUGACAUGCAUCUCUAAUCCGGUGAAAGCCGGUGAGUGUAGCAAUACACAAUUUGCACAGGUGCUGCAUGGCUGUCGUCAGCUCGUGUCGUGAGAUGUUGGGUUAAGUCCCGCAACGAGCGCAACCCCUGUGAACUGUUGCCAUGGAGACGUGAGUCUCCGGCACUCUGUUCAGACUGCCCUGUUCAACGGGGAGGAAGGUGGGGACGACGUCAAGUCAGUAUGGCCCUUACGGCCAGGGCUGCACACGUACUACAAUGCCCGACACAGAAGGAUCCGAGACCGCAAGGUGGAGGAAAUCACCAAAGUCGGGCCCAGUUCGGAUUGGAGGCUGCAACUCGCCUCCAUGAAGCCGGAAUCGCUAGUAAUGGCGCAUCAGCUACGGCGCCGUGAAUACGUUCCCGGGUCUUGUACACACCGCCCGUCACAUCAUGGGAGUCGUUUGUACCCGAAGUGCGCGCGCCAACCGCAAGGAGGCAGCGCCCUAAGGUAUGAGCGGUAACUGGGAUGAAGUCGGAACAAGGUA